GAUGAACGCUGGCGGCGUGCCUAAUACAUGCAAGUCGAGCGAACAGACGAGGAGCUUGCUCCUCUGACGUUAGCGGCGGACGGGUGAGUAACACGUGGAUAACCUACCUAUAAGACUGGGAUAACUUCGGGAAACCGGAGCUAAUACCGGAUAAUAUAUUGAACCGCAUGGUUCAAUAGUGAAAGACGGUUUUGCUGUCACUUAUAGAUGGAUCCGCGCCGCAUUAGCUAGUUGGUAAGGUAACGGCUUACCAAGGCAACGAUGCGUAGCCGACCUGAGAGGGAGAUCGGCAACGCGGGAACGGAGAGAGGGUCCAGACUCCGACGGGAGGCAACAAGGGGGAAUAUUGGACAAGGGGCGAAAGCCGGAAAAAGCAAGGCAGAGUGAGUGAAGAAGGUCUUGGGAUGGAAAAACUCUUUUAGGAGGGAAAAAAAAAAGGAAAAGAAUAACUGCGGGGCUUGAGGGAACGUAAAAAAAAAGCACGGGCUAACUAGGGG
rnacentral:rRNA from 1 species